GCAGAGAAGAAAAACAGUCCUCUGCCGUGUUUACACACAGAAUAUUUCAGGGCUGGUUUUGCUUUUCUCUAAGGUCCUGUCCAUUUCAGUCCGGCCCAGGAGCUCACUCCUGUCCCCAAGCGGGACUGCCAUCAGCUGAGAGCAUCUACAGGGCAGCCCUUCGUACGUACAGGGGGAGCCGGGAGAUAUGGCCCAGUCACACAGAUCAACAGUGGGCUCCAGUCUAGUUCCUAGAUCAUUGGUCCCUCGGAAGGACUCCCUGGGCACAGACGUCUUUCGCGAUGACAAUGGGGACUGCAUUGUCCGCUCCGACCUGGGCUGCUACCUGCAGACAAAAGAUUUCCUUGAGAGGGGGCAUGACAUCAAGAUCCGGAAACUGCACCCUGCAUGCCAGGGCGGGGAUCACUAUGUGGGCAACAGGCAGGAAUCCAAUAUCUACAUCAUCAAGGGCAGUUCCUACCGGGUGGUGAAGGACCUGAGCACAGAUAAGGGAGCUCAGGUCUUUGAGCUACAUCCCAGGUGCUGCGGUGGGGACCACUAUGGGAGGGCUGGUUGGACCUUCUUCAUCAUUUUCCAAAACCAGGGAGAAAUCCGCUGGGUGACUAAUUUGAGGACAGCUGGAGGUGAAAAAACCUUUGCCCUGCACCCUGAAUGCUGCAAUGGGCUCUACUACUUUGGCAUCGAUCAAUACCUAGCCCUGAUCAAGAUGGAUGAGAAAUGGGGAGCUCAUUUCUACCUGUACCCAGAUGCAAGCAAAGACAAGCUGGACUCCUUCUUCUCCAUCCACCCAGACGUGUUGAACUUCUUCCCUGGGGGCUUGACCCUCACCAAGGGCAUCUCAACCAGCGGCUGGGAGUGCAUCAAGACCUUGCACAACAACUCCGAUUCCCCCAUCACCUGGUCCGACAAGGUCACCCGCAAAGUGGGCUACACCAAACAGAAGAUGUCCACCAUUGAGAACAACUGGAGCAUCUCCGCUGAGAUGUCCCUCGGGGCUGGAGAGCUCACCAAGCUCAUCUCCCAGCUCCAGUUCUCCCUCAAGGCCGAAUACGGCGGGAGAAGCAUCCGCACGGAGCAGGAGGACUGGAACGAAGCUCGAGAAGAAGAGGAGUCAAUCCAGGUGAUCCUGGAACCCCAAAAGAACCUAUACAUCUGGCAGUACCAGCUUGGCAUAGGCCAGGAGUCCGUCUUGUUCUGCAGAGACAUUCAGUUCACCAAAGAAAACAAGCCACCCGACCGCAUCCCGCUGCCUCCAGUCCCCUAAGCGCCCAUGAGGAUGGAGAAUGCAGCACCAUGAUGCUAUUCUGGAUGUGUGCUUGGCAGCCCUUCGUACUAUGGGGUGAGACGGAGGAGACAAGGCCCAGUCACAUAGAUCAACGGUGCUGAGUGGGAGCCAGUGUGCAGUAGGAACCUCCCGGAGCAGGACCCUGGGCUUUUCCCUCCCACCCGCCUACCUUCCCUCAGGACAACGCCACUCCCUGGAGACAGGCCUGCGGGGCACAUCGAGGAGACUUCACUGCAGGCAUCUUCCAGAUCUGCCCAACUCCUGUCCCAGGUGCCUGGUCGCUGUUGGAACCAGCGGGUCUUCAAGCAUCAAAGAUUCACAAACCAUGAGAUGAGCUAAUGUCCUACCCCUCCCUUCUCCUCCCUCAAGAUUUGACUCCUGUCGAUGGACCAUUGUUUCCCUCACAAGGACACCCCAGGCACAGACAUCUUCCCUGGCCAAGGCAGAUUCUUCAUCGUCCGUGCCAAACCGGACUGCUACUUGCAGACAGAGGAUCCAAAAAGCAGGACUGGUAUCACGAUCUGGAGACUGACCCCCGCAUGCCAGGGUGGGGGUCACUACCUGGGUGCCCAUGAAAAAUCCAACAUCUACAUCAUCAAAGGCGACUCUGACCGGGUGGUGAAGGACUUGAGCACAGACGCUGAGGCCGAGGUCCAUGAGCUGCAUCCCAACUGCCAUGGUGGGCACCACUACACGCACGCUGGUUCCUUUUUUUUUCAUCAUCUCCUUAGAGCGGGGGUUGUGCACCAGGUCCUUGACCUGAGCCCAGCUAAAAAAGAGAUGAUACUCCCCUGCAGCUGGAAUGCCACAAGGGGCUCUGUUAUUUUAGCAUCUUUGUCACCCCACUCCUGAUCCAGGUGGAUGAGAAAUGGGGGGCUCAGUGCUACCUGGACAUGACAUGUGCAACUCAGCCCCCUUCCAGUCUACUUCUCCAUCCAUCCCAACAUGCUCAAUUUCUUCCCGGGGGAUUGGGCCCUCACCAAGGGCGCCUCAACCGGUGGCUGGGAGUGCAUCAAGACCCUGCAAAAUGACGCCGAUUCCUCCAUCAUCUGGGCUGACAAGGUCACCCACAAGGUGGGCUACGCCAAGCCCCAGAUGUCCAGGAUCGAGCACAAAUGGAGCAUCUCCGCUGAGAUGUCCCUUGGGACCGGAGCCCUCACUAAGCUCAUCAUCCAGUUCCAGUUCUCCUUCAGGGCCGAAUAGGGUGGGAGAAAUCCACGUGGAGAAGGACUGGAACGAAGCCUGAGAAGAAGGGGAGUCAAUUCAGGUGAACCUGGAGUGCAAGCAGAACCUCUACAUCUGGCAGUACUGCCUCGGUAUAGGCCACAAGCCCAUCUUGUUCUGCAGGGACAUCCACUUCACCAGAGAAAACAACCCACCCGACCGCAUCCCACUGCCUCCGGUCCCCUAAGCAUCCAUGAGGAUGGAGAACACCAGCACCAAGAUGCUGUUGUUAACCUGUGCGUGCGAGCACUGGCCUCCUGGAAAUCAAUGGGAUCAAACCAGCCCCUUCAAAUCCAUACUUAGCACUUCCUGGCGCACUCCUCCCAGCUUGCAAACUGGGCUCAUCCGCUUCCCCUCCCCCAACUGCCCUGCAAAUCACGUCACCCGGGACAGGUGAUUUCCUGGCAUGUUCUCUCUGUCUUCUCUCGCUAUAACCCGCAGCCUGAAUUCUGCUUUGGGAUCAUUCUGGGGUCAGAUUUGCUGGUGAAGCAUAAAGAAUUUGUUGAGCCUGUA